UACGAAGGGGGGCUAGCGUUGCUCGGAAUCACUGGGCGUAAAGGGUGCGUAGGCGGGUCUUUAAGUCAGGGGUGAAAUCCUGGAGCUCAACUCCAGAACUGCCUUUGAUACUGAAGAUCUUGAGUUCGGGAGAGGUGAGUGGAACUGCGAGUGUAGAGGUGAAAGUUCGUAGAUAUUCGCAAGAACACCAGUGGCGAAGGCGGCUCACUGGCCCGAUACUGACGCUGAGGCACGAAAGCGUGGGGAGCAACAGG
rnacentral:rRNA from 1 species